rnacentral:tRNA from 1 species
AAGAUUAUAGUUAAUUAUAACAUUUAAUUUGCAAUUAAAAAGUAUUGAAUUUAUUCAGUUUUUCUUA